rnacentral:lncRNA from 1 species
GAACCCACGGACCCUGUAGCUGGAGCAGAGGAAGCUUGAAUGCCUGUUUGGGGAAGAAAGCCUUUGCUGCCCAUCCUUAGGCCUCUCCUGUGAUAGGGGAAGAGGACAUAGAAACGCUGAGAGAGCCAGGGCCUCCGCUUCUCUGGAGUAUUCCCCCUUCUGUAAGUGGAAGGAAAGGAAGCACAGCAGAAGGAUUGGAAUCAAGACAGCCUGGCUCCAGAGCCUGUUUUCAUAACUACGAGAGAAUGCACCAGAUUCCUUCUGAACGCCGCCUGCCGCGUGCACGGCUACAACUCUAUUUCCAGCCAUGCUGUGGCAAGCAGUUCCGGGCGGGCUUCAGCUCCCUUUGCACCACCAGCACCUCGCCUCCUGUCAGCAUGAGGCAGUUUUCAUUUUCUGCCCAGGGGCUUCCGCAGCGCCCCAACACAAGGUUGGCAGAAGCGGGCUCAGCCGGAGGACUUGUGGAGGGAAGUUGCUUCCACUGAGCCAGCCUCAAUCUGGGGUGCACAGGCGCCACCAGGUGAAUGCUUCUGCCAGGCCGUCAUCUGACCCAUAAGGUCCCUCUGUGCACUGCUUGGAAGGUCCUGGCAGGGCUGAGCCCCAGCCACCCACGGCAGUGACCUAAUAAUGCACCGUUAUCUUGGCUCUUCUGCUCUCUCUUGUUUCCCACUCCUGUUCGUCCCUCAUUUCUGGUCCCUAGAAUGACUUCCAAAAUAAACUCCCUGUACACAA